CUGGCCCCACUCAAAAUACCACUCAAAAUAAUUAGAUCAAUAGGAAAUUUUUGUUUUGUCACACCACCAAUCUUGCAUAUUUUCAACCCCACUUGUUUUUCUUUUCCUAAGAUCUUACGUUUUCCAGAUGGACCAAAGUCCAAACCUUUCUUCUUCCUCGCUCUUUCUUUCUCGCUAUUUCCUCCCCUCACCGUCGCUUCUCCGUUCUCUCUGUUUAUUUUGCAGAUUUGGAAUCAUCGAAAAGGAAGCUAUUUGGGAAGCUAUUUGUGAAGGAGAAAAAUCAAUAAAAAUCAGAUAUAUUGCUCUUGAUAAACAAAGAAAUCCAAAUCUUUUAGAGAUUCUGGCCCACUCUAUAUAUUUAGACCAAUAGGUGUUUCAAGUUCAACAAGGAAGAGAAGAAAAAGGAAAUUCACAUCACCAUCAUGUGGACUUGCAGAAGUAUCUCAUACAAGACAUUAAUCUAAUCAGUGAUCACCUGAUGUUGUGCCAAUAAUGUCCCAAUUUUUCUGUGUACGAGGGUUGCCAUGAAGAUUCUUACACUGCUUUCAUCUAUGGUCUUUCAAAAAAAAGGCUUGCAAUGCACCAGAGCCAUGGCAACAUAGCUUCUUCAACUACCUCAAACCAUGUACUCAGAUCACUGUUUUUUUAUUUCUAAAAGCAUUACAUUGUUUUUAUUUCUUAAAGCAUGAAUAUAUUACCUAUCCAAAGAAUUCCUCAUCCAUACAUGCAUCAUUUUCAUUUCAUUUGUUGCCUCUACAAGUACUCAUGAUGGCACUAGGUUGGACUGAAGAUUUAAUUCGUCUAUAUAAGUGAACCACACGCGUUCAGGUCAAAAUAUGAGAACAUAAAGGUGGUGAAACAGAGGAAUGUGGCUGGAAAUGUGUGUCAAAAUAAAUCGGCAAAUGUAAGUAAGCUAAGUUAUUUGAGGAAGGAAAUGGAGGCUCUGAGGUUUUAAAAUUCUUAUCAACAACGUCAGAUAUGGCGUGAUAUAUACACUGGGUUGGGUCCUAUUGCGUCAUAGUCAGCAACCCCAGUAGCACCACUAACACCAAUUCUGGGACCACAAUGAUCUGAGGUACAAAAUAUUUUAAGGUUUGUUGCAUGGUCGAAAUAAGUCAAUGUCUAUUGAACAAAACAUAUGACGGACUUGGCUGCUGUCAAUCUCAUGAUUAUUAUUUCUUUUGUAAUCGUGUGUACCAAAUAGCUACUUUGCAGGACGACUACUAAUAAUUAGUGACUACUAAUUACUUAAUAUAAACAGUAGCAUUUCUAAUUUAGUAUGUGUAAUGAUGGGUUCAAAUACACAAGGAGCUAAAUCAAUAGUAUAGCAUAGACUUAUGUUUAACUGAAGAGAGGCGAAUGGGGGUAUGAGAAAUGUUACAUUACUUGGUUCCCAACUUACAUAGUACAUUACCGCUCAAGACUAUUUAUAGUUUAACUCAAAGCCAAUACAUGCACAACAGUACAAUGUUAAUUUGCCACGAGUAUGUAUAUGUGGCAAGAAGAUAACCAUUAAUUUGUUUAGUGUUAAUCCAAAUAGAGAUUAACCU